AUGGAGAAGCUGAGGAGGGGGAUGGCUCUUCAUAUCCAUGAAGCCUGGAUACUUCUGUUCGUAAUCCCUGGUUUGGUCACUCCAGCUGCCAUCAAUCAUGAAGACUAUCCUGCUGAUGAAGGGGACCAGACCUCCAGUAAUGACAAUCUGAUCUUUGAUGACUACCGGGGGAAGGGCUGUGUGGAUGACAGUGGCUUUGUGUACAAACUGGGAGAACGUUUUUUCCCGGGACAUUCCAACUGUCCCUGUGUCUGUACUGAGGAUGGACCUGUUUGUGAUCAACCAGAAUGCCCUAAAAUCCACCCAAAGUGUACAAAAGUGGAACACAAUGGAUGCUGUCCGGAAUGCAAAGAAGUGAAAAACUUUUGUGAAUAUCAUGGGAAAAAUUACAAAAUCUUGGAGGAAUUUAAGCCCUCGCCAUGCGAAUGGUGUCGCUGCGAGCCCAGCAAUGAAGUUCACUGUGUUGUAGCAGACUGCGCAGUUCCCGAGUGUGUCAACCCAGUCUAUGAACCAGAACAGUGUUGUCCUGUCUGCAAAAAUGAAAUUCCUGAAAUGGCCAGAUUUUAAGGUUGCACUUAACCCCCCUUCAGUCAAAGUCUAUGCAAUUUGCUGAUUGGUUGUGCAGAUGCAAGUUGAUUGUGACCAUCCAAGAGAAGACGUGUUCCCCACGCCGGACUGUGCUGGACUCCACCGUCCUCUCCUGGGUCCCGGAGCUGAAGGCAGUAGUGUAGUGUAGCCACAGCACCCUUCAUUCCUGGUGGAUGAAGCACUGAUGGCACCCAGUCACCAGCCAGCCUUGUGGGCACUCGGUCACCCCACGGCCACCACCUCACUGACAGGUCAGGCUGAGGGGGCACAGGAAGGACCGGCUCAUGUUCUUUGGGAUUACCAGCAGGGAUGGGAACUGUGGUGCCCUAUUAGCUCAAGUACAGUGAUUUGAUUACCAACAGAGAAAGAAAGGAUUGAUUUAAAAGCUGGUAGAAGAUCUAGACUGAAAACAAAGCAGUGUGUUUGGGCCAGGCAAACACCAGCCUGACAGAAUACUGCACUUUGAGAGAAGUCAUUUCCCCGAAAUUGCCUUUCAGUGGAGCCCGUUCAUCCCCAUCACUUUGGGCCCAGUGGUUAAAGGCGUGUAGGUGCCAGACUUGCUGGUGGAAAUUCGACACGUAAGCACCUGUGAAGAGCCAGACCCUCCAUCGCUUUUGGGAAUCUCCAGCAGUUGGAUUAUCCAGAUGCUGAAAUGCCCUGCUGACUCAAGACUGCCCUGCUCCCUCUGGGCACAGCUGUUGGAAGAGGCAUCUGAUAACAGUGAAAAGCUUUGGAAAGGUCCGAACUGCUUUGCGGGAACCACGAUAAUUCCCGCCGGCAUCGAGGUGAAGGUGGACGACUGCAAUAUCUGCCACUGCC